UGGAAAGGGAAGGAUUCGAACCUUCGACCUCCGGUAUCCCGGUGCGUGACCACUCCGCCUCCUUCCC